rnacentral:rRNA from 1 species
UACGGAGGGGGCUAGCGUUGUUCGGAAUUACUGGGCGUAAAGCGCACGUAGGCGGCUUUGUAAGUUAGAGGUGAAAGCCCGGGGCUCAACUCCGGAAUUGCCUUUAAAACUGCAUCGCUAGAAUUGUGGAGAGGUGAGUGGAAUUCCGAGUGUAGAGGUGAAAUUCGUAGAUAUUCGGAAGAACACCAGUGGCGAAGGCGACUUACUGGACGAUUGUUGACGCUGAGGUGCGAAAGCGUGGGGAGCAAACAGG